rnacentral:rRNA from 1 species
AUGAGCUCUUGGAGUUAUUCUGUACUAGGUGCAAAACCUGGAAUGUUGACGAGGUAUAAAUUCUCAUGUGUUUUGAACUAUUCUGGAGCAGAGCUACUGCAUGAUCGUUAUAUUCAAGUUUGGGUUAAAUCCCUUUUUGCUGGACAACUUAUUCAGUGUGCCUUUAAAAUCAACCAUUGGAGAAUUGCUUGGAUACUAGACUGGGAUGUAUAUGAACAUGCUGAUAUGAAAUUGAGGGAAUUAUGGCUCACGAAAAUGGGCCAGGAGAUCUGCUAUUGUAUUGGUGAUGUUACUGCUCGGUACUUGUCCUUUACACGAUUCAGACCUACUGAUGCAUAUUUUGGUGAGCAUAAGAUGCAAAUUCUCGAAGGAAUUGAGAAAUGGUUGUCAUAUAAUCAAUAUGUGCAGCCAACUGCUGAAAUUUUUUAG